UGUGCUCGGCAUGGACAUGACGCCCCAAGCUGCUUUCACCAAACUAACUUUGAGCUACGUACUGGCGACAAACCUGAGUAUCGAGGAAAAGAAAAAGUUGCUGCUGCAGAAUCUUAGAGGCGAAAUCACGGUGAAGACAUCUGAUUCUGAAGAGAAAAAACGAUAAACAAGAAUUUGUAGUGGGUGUCAGAUUAUAAUGGAGUAAACAUAUGCUCAACCAA